UCAAAGGUCCUUCUGUAACAGUCCGGUUUUGACCCUAGUCGAAAUAGUGGUUUCAGGACCACAAAUUUGAGACUAAAAAAUAUUUU
rfam:Gossypium arboreum cultivar AKA8401 contig_76338_1, whole genome shotgun sequence.